CGUCUAUAUACGUAUAGCAUAUCAAUAAGCGGAGGAAAAGAAACUAACUAGGAUUCCCUCAGUAACGGCGAGUGAAGCGGGAAGAGCUCAAAUUUGAAAUCUUCAAGGUUUUACCUUGACGAAUUGUAGUUUAAAGAAGUGUUUUCUGUUGGAGUUUUGGUAAAAGUUCUUUGGAAUAGGACAUCAUAGAGGGUGAGAAUCCCGUAUUUGACCAUUAUUUCCAACUUUGUGAUACACUUUCAAAGAGUCGGAUUGUUUGGGAAUGCAGUCCAAAAUGGGUGGUAAAUUUCAUCUAAAGCUAAAUACUGGCGAGAGACCGAUAGCGAACAAGUACCGUGAGGGAAAGAUGAAAAGAACUUUGAAAAGAGAGUUAAACAGUACGUGAAAUUGUCAAAAGGGAAGCGUUUGACACCAGUGUUGUUUUCUCGAAAAUCAAUUAAAAAUGGCAGGAUUUUGUGUUGUAUUGACUUUAUCAGCUUUCUGCACUUUUUUCCUGUCUUUUUUAAUGCACUUUUCGUUUAACAAGUCAACAUCAAUUUCUUUUGUUGUAAAAGGGUCAUUGGAAGGUGGCUUUCUUUUCGGAGAAAGUGUUUAUAGCCUUUGACUUCUGCAAUCGGAGAGAUUGAGGUCUGCAGCGUAGAUCCUUCGGGGUUAGAUAGCAUUUGUGCUAAGCUUAUAGCCUUUCAUAGACAACUUGUUGACUAUGAUCAGUCAUGUAGCUUACUCGCUUAUGUCUAUUUUACCUACGCUUAGGAUGUUGACGAUCAGCUGAGCGCG
rnacentral:rRNA from 1 species